UCUGGGUUGUUUAGCUGCAGCAGGUAAUAAAGCAACAGGCGACACGUUGAAAUGUAGCAGCUGAAUUAGACCAAAGUCCCGCGUUAAAAAGCGCAUGUCAAUGACGCAACAUGCUGGUAACCAUGGGAAAGCACAGUGCUAUAAAAAUAAAAGAUUGGAGAGGGGCUGUAACCAAAAAUGGACUGCCAAAGAGUUGCAUGAAGGCCUCCUGAGACUCAAGUGGCUCCACAGAAAGCUCAUCGGCCUGAGUCUUCUUCUCGUCCACCUGCACGUAGUCCACUUUGUACUCAUCAGCGAGUAGUGCCUUCUGCUGGACGUAACAAAGAAGAGAGAGGGAGAUGGUAAAGAGAUGAGGUUCCCGAAACGACAAAUCUGACUGAUGCUGCUGAUCCAGCCGUUCAUCUCCUCCUCCGUGUUGGCCACCAGCUGGCUGUUGAGCAUCUCCACCUCGCAUUCCUUCAGGUCGAUGGUUCGGAUCGGCUUCUUGGAGUUCUUGCUCUGGUAGUAUUCCAGCACAUCCGGGUUGCCGCACAUUCGCCCCGACCGGAGCACGAACCAGCGCUUCCGCCACGCCUGCAGCAAGCGGAACCUCAGCUCCAGUUUCCCAGAAGUGCUGAGAAGAGGAAGUUGACUGUAUUUAGCAGAAUCACAACGAAAGAGGGUUUUUCAAGGCACUGUUGUGGGGCAGUGAUGUGAUCCCAUCAUAGAAUAUGUAUUUUGUUUUCUUCUUCUGCACAAGUCGGUCAUGAAUUCAUGUGCUCACACCAGGAAAUGGGUCGACCCGCAGCACAUUUGGUGCGUAUAACACUGCCAGCUUUAAAAGGAAACCAUAACUGCAGAUGGCAGUUUGAUCCAGUGGGUGUUCACCAUAUGCAAAGUUCUGAGUCCGGGUGAAAACAAGUUGUUUUUUAUAGAUAUCGAGGUCAAUCUCCAUAUAUCAGCUGCAAAGGCAAUCUAUAUAUAUUUACAGAGACAUAGAGAAGAUAUCUGUUGAUAUAUCUGAAACAUGUGAGAAGAAUCCAAGGCAAAAUAAAACAAAAGUUUUCGAGGUGUAAACAUGCUUGCUGACAAAGUUUUUCCAUGCAUCUUUGGUUCAUCCUUUUUGGAUGAAGUUAGCAUUUCUGCCAUCAUGUGACCAAAGUAAACUUUGGUCCAUUUCUAACCUCUUGCCACGA